rnacentral:rRNA from 1 species
UUUUCGCAAUGCCCGAAAGGGUGACGAAGCGACGCCGCGUGGGUGAGGAAGGCCUUCGGGUUGUAAAGCCCUGUCAGGAGUUAAGAAAUGUAGGUACGCUAAUAUCGUGCUUAUUUGACAAAGGCUCCAAAGGAAGCCACGGCUAACUCUGUGCCAGCAGCCGCGGUAAUACAGAGGUGGCAAGCGUUGUUCGGAAUUAUUGGGCGUAAAGAGCGCGUAGGUGGAUUUGUAAGUCAGAUGUGAAAGCCUUCUGUUCAACGGGAGAAUUGCAUCUGAAACUACAAACCUUGAGUGUAGGAGGGGAGAAUGGAACUUCUGGUGGAGCGGUGAAAUGCGUAGAUAUCAGAAGGAACGCCGGCGGCGAAAGCGAUUCUCUGGCCUAUUACUGACACUCAGUGCGCGAAAGCUAGGGGAGCAAACGGGAUUAGAUACCCCGGUAGUCCUAGCCGUAAACGAUGGGCACUAAGUAGAGGGGUU